AGCAGCCGCGGUAAUUCCAGCUCCAAUAGCGUAUAUUAAAGUUGUUGCAGUUAAAAAGCUCGUAGUUGAAUUUCGGGAUCAAUAUAUCGGUCGUGCCUUUGGUACGUACUGGUAUCAUUGAUUUCUCCUUUCUGACGAAUCAUGAUGUCAUUAAUUUGGUGUUAUGAGGAGUUAGGACUGUUACUUUGAAAAAAUUAGAGUGUUUAAAGCAGGCAUUAGCUUGAAUACAUUAGCAUGGAAUAAUGAAAUAGGACGUUUGACCCUAUUUUGUUGGUUUUUAGGAUCGACGUAAUGAUUAAUAGGGAUAGUUGGGGGCAUUAGUAUUCAAUUGUCAGAGGUGAAAUUCUUGGAUUUAUUGAAGACUAACUACUGCGAAAGCAUUUUGCCAAGGAUGUUUUCAUUAAUCAAGAACGAAAGUUAGGGGAUCGAAGACGAUCAGAUACCGUCGUAGUCUUAACCAUAGACUAUGCCGACUAGGGAUCGGAUGAUGUUAAUUUUAUAAUGACUCAUUCGGCGCCUU
rnacentral:rRNA from 1 species